ACGCCCCUCGGGAGCUCAGGUCCGCCGCAUCUCCUGGGAAACCGAAGGGCUAGGCUGGUCGGUGACGGAACUCUGGCCUCCUCAGAGCCGUCGCCGGCCGGCCACCUC
rnacentral:sRNA from 1 species